UGAUGCCCCUCACCCACCCCUGAAGAUCCCAGGUGGGCGAGGGAAUGGCACAAGGGAUC
rfam:Takifugu rubripes chromosome, Chr_6